AAAAUUUAAAAAAAAUCUUUUAACUUAUUAUUUUUUUGUUUAAUCAAAAAUAAAAUUGAUCAGUUAACCUGAUAUAAUUUUUGGCUUUAGAAAUGACAUGUGACAUUUGUUGAUUAAAUUUACAUCCAUUAAAAAAAAUGUCAUGUAUAUAUCUAAUAACAUAUAUGCUUUCAUAAUGAGGCUUUAAAAAUGUAAUUUUACAAUUUCUACAAAAGUAACUGUAAACCUUUAUAGAGUUGAAAUGGUUAUCUAAAAAAUAAAUCUGAUCUUCAUAAAGUAUACAGAACCAUUGCCCACUCCUAUACCACAUCUUUAUAUAUGAAAUAAAAUACAAAAUAACAAGCAAUUAAAGCUACUCAAUAACUAAUACAUAUGGCAGGUAAAAGUGAGAUUUUUCUUUUAAAGAUCUUUGUUAAAAAGAAAUCCUUACA